AUUAAGAUGUCUGAUUAAAGUAAUAAACUGUAAAUUUAUUUAAGAAGUUAUUUUCUCUUAAUA
rnacentral:tRNA from 1 species